rnacentral:rRNA from 1 species
CGAGCGGAAAGGCCCUUCGGGGUACUCGAGCGGCGAACGGGUGAGUAACACGUGAGCAACCUGCCCCAGGCUUUGGGAUAACCCCGGGAAACCGGGGCUAAUACCGAAUAUGACCUCUGACCGCAUGGUUGGUGGUGGAAAGUUUUUCGGCUUGGGAUGGGCUCGCGGCCUAUCAGCUUGUUGGUGGGGUGAUGGCCUACCAAGGCGACGACGGGUAGCCGGCCUGAGAGGGCGACCGGCCACACUGGGACUGAGACACGGCCCAGACUCCUACGGGAGGCAGCAGUGGGGAAUAUUGCACAAUGGGCGGAAGCCUGAUGCAGCGACGCCGCGUGAGGGAUGACGGCCUUCGGGUUGUAAACCUCUUUCAGCAGGGACGAAGCGUAAGUGACGGUACCUGCAGAAGAAGCGCCGGCCAACUACGUGCCAGCAGCCGCGGUAAGACGUAGGGCGCGAGCGUUGUCCGGAUUUAUUGGGCGUAAAGAGCUCGUAGGCGGCUUGUCGCGUCGACCGUGAAAACUUGGGGCUCAACCCCGAGCCUGCGGUCGAUACGGGCAGGCUAGAGUUCGGUAGGGGAGACUGGAAUUCCUGGUGUAGCGGUGAAAUGCGCAGAUAUCAGGAGGAACACCGGUGGCGAAGGCGGGUCUCUGGGCCGAUACUGACGCUGAGGAGCGAAAGCGUGGGGAGCGAACAGGAUUAGAUACCCUGGUAGUCCACGCUGUAAACGUUGG